AGCACCACCAUUUGACUAGGAGUGGAAAAUCUCCUGCACCAAAUAGAGGAGGGGGUGGCCUUCCUUUCUCUACAGGAGGACCGAUUCGAACUUUCUCAGCCCUUCAGUCAGGACAGGACGUGGAACGAGGGGAAAAAAAAUCUCUUUUGAGGAAAAUUUUUUAAUUAAAUUGUAUUCACUGUUAUUAGAUUAGACUGAAUAAUGAAAAAAAAGAAGUUGCUUCUAACAGCCUGGGCUCCACAAGCAAAGUAAAGCAGAAAAUUGAUGAAGCAAAAUCCUGCUGUGACCCAGGUGAUUCAGAUUAAAAUAAAAAUCAGAUUUUUCAUUUA